rfam:Buceros rhinoceros silvestris contig3651, whole genome shotgun sequence.
GCAGAGGCCCUUUUAAGGGCCACCUGUAGUGCUAACACUCUUUG